rnacentral:rRNA from 1 species
AUUGAACGCUGGCGGCAGGCCUAACACAUGCAAGUCGAACGGUAACAGGAAACAGCUUGCUGUUUCGCUGACGAGUGGCGGACGGGCGAGUAAUGUCUGGGAAACUGCCUGAUGGAGGGGGAUAACUACUGGAAACGGUAGCUAAUACCGCAUAACGUCGCAAGACCAAAGAGGGGGACCUUCGGGCCUCAUGCCAUCGGAUGUGCCCAGAUGGGAUUAGCUAGUAGGUGGGGUAACGGCUCACCUCGGCGACGAUCCCUAGCUGGUCUGAGAGGAUGACCAGCCACACUGGAACUGAGACACGGUCCAGACUCCUACGGGAGGCAGCAGUGGGGAAUAUUGCACAAUGGGCGCAAGCCUGAUGCAGCCAUGUCGCGUGUAUGAAGAAGGCCUUCGGGUUGUAAAGUACUUUCAGCGGGGAGGAAGGGAGUAAAGUUAAUACCUUUGCUCCUUGACGUUACCCGCAGAAGAAGCACCGGCUAACUCCGUGCCAGCCGCCGCGGUAA